rnacentral:misc_RNA from 1 species
ACAACCAACAAGCCUUUAAGCUUGGUGUUGGAUGUCACUAUAUUAAGGUGCAUCUUAAAAUCAAUAAGCAGUAUUCUCCAGCUUCGAGCGGUAGUAAUAUAUCUCGCUUCUGGUGCUUAGAUAGUCUGCUAAAUAAUUAAUUUAUCAAG